rnacentral:rRNA from 1 species
UACGGAAGGCAGCAGUGGGGAAUAUUGCACAAUGGGCGAAAGCCUGAUGCAGCUAUGCCGCGUGUAUGAAGAAGGCCUUAGGGUUGUAAAGUACUUUCAUCGGGGAGGAAAAACAAAACUAAUAAUUUUAUUUCUUGACGUUACCCGAAAAAGAAGCACCGGCUAACUCCGUGCCAGCAGCCGCGGUAAUACGGAGGGUGCUAGCGUUAAUCAGAAUUACUGGGCGUAAAGAGCACGUAGGUGGUUUUUUUAAGUCAGAUGUGAAAUCCCUGGGCUUAACCUAGGAACUGCAUUUUGAAACUGAAAUACUAGAGUAUCGUAGAGGGAGGUAGAAUUCUAGGUGUAGCGGUGAAAUGCGUAGAUAUCUGGAGGAAUACCUGUGGCGAAAGCGGCCUCCUAAACGAAUACUGACACUGAGGUGCGAAAGCUGGGGAGCAAACAGGGAUUAGAUACC